rnacentral:lncRNA from 1 species
GUGCACAGCACUUGUUCAGGGCUGGGAGAGGAGGCUGCCUGCAUGCCCAUGGUGAGGUGCUCUCUUCCAGCUGUGGCUCAGAAGGGGCUUCCUUGGCUGGUGCUGCCAUGGCUGCCAGGCAUCACAAUACCCUUGCAUGACUCCCAGAGGACGUGAUGGUCUCCCAGUGGUGGGAUUUGACUGCUCCUUGUCGUUAGUGCUGCUGUGGAGCCCAAGAAGCCACUGGGCAGAAAGAGAGAUGUGACAUUGUGUUAAACAACUCAGCGUGGGAUGGUGUUUUCUCCUGAUGUGCCAGCUCAGCCUGAGACCCAGGGGGUUGAGCUCUCCAGUACUUCCCCUCAGAAUCAGUGCAGAAGAGGACGAAGAGUCUCAUUUUAGGAGGAAAAGUUUCCUUUUUGUCUUUAAUGCUGUAUCCACAUAAACUCUUGACUCUAG